rnacentral:rRNA from 1 species
UAGGGAAUCUUCGGCAAUGGGGGCAACCCUGACCGAGCAACGCCGCAUGAGUGAAGAAGGUUUUCGGAUCGUAAAGCUCUGUUGUAAGAGAAGAACGUGUGUGAGAGUGGAAAGUUCACACAGUGACGGUAACUUACCAGAAAGGGACGGCUAACUACGUGCCAG